rnacentral:rRNA from 1 species
UAUAAGAUCCCUCGAAGAUGACGAGGUUAAUAGGUUCGAGGUGGAAGCGUGGUGACACGUGGAGCUGACGAAUACUAAUCGAUCGAAGACUUAAUCAAUUU